AACGCACAUUGCGCCCCUUGGUAUUCCGAGGGGCAUGCCUGUUCGAGCGUCAUUAUGACCACUCAAGCCUAGCUUGGUAUUGGGGUUCGCGGCGUCGCGGCCCCUAAAAUCAGUGGCGGUGCCGUCUGGCUCUAAGCGUAGUAAAUUUUCUCGCUACAGGGUCCGGAGGGUGGCUUGCCAACAACCCCCCAACUCUUACGGUUGACCUCGGAUCAGGUAGGGAUACCCGCUGAACUUAA
rnacentral:misc_RNA from 1 species